UUCAUAGGAAGGUGUCAUUCAUGUGGUCUACAAUUUGAAUGCCACUUUUUUGUGAAGA
rnacentral:pre_miRNA from 1 species